rnacentral:rRNA from 1 species
UACGGAGGGUGCGAGCGUUGUCCGGAAUCACUGGGCGUAAAGGGCGCGUAGGCGGUGCGAUAAGCGUGUGGUGAAAGUCCGGGGCUCAACCCCGGAUCGGCCGUGCGGACUGGGGAGCUCGAGUUCUGUAGAGGCGGGUGGAAUUCCGGGUGUAGCGGUGGAAUGCGUAGAGAUCCGGAAGAACACCGGUGGCGAAGGCGGCCCGCUGGGCAGAGACUGACGCUGAGGCGCGACAGCGUGGGGAGCAAACAGG